rnacentral:rRNA from 1 species
AUGGAUGUUGAUAUUGUGGAACAACAACAUAACAAUGAGACGGGAGUUGAAGUUGAACAACUUUCACAAGAUGACAUCCUCAUAUUUCUUGAAAAUGAAAGCAUAAAAAAUGCUCAGACUUGCAGCCAGGAAGUUCGUAGCCAUCAUGUGCCAACUAUUGACAUGGUUUUUGACAACCAAGAAGCAGCUUAUAGCUUCUACAACGAGUAUGCAAGCAUAUGUGGUUUCUCUGUAAAGAGGGCAGCAUCCUUUUGUGCAAAAAAGGAAGGUGGCAAUGCACCAACAAGAAUCACUUUGAAGUGUAACCGAUCUAGACGUGCAAUUGGAGAGGAAGAAAAGGAAGCAAGGUUGAAAAAACAACGAGAAACUAGACAGGCAAAAACAGGCCAGGUCCCGCGUGAGAACCCCAGGAAAAAGAAAACAAACACCAUUGAGAUAACUGGUUGUAAGGCUCAGCUUAUUAUCACAAAGAAGGUAGACAAGUGGGUUGUUACAACAAUCAACCUCGAGCAUAACCAUGAGUUGAGCCCUCAUACAGAGUCAAAGUACCUCUGUUCAUAUAACUACAUGACAGAAGAGGAGAAGAUCCUUAUCCGUACAUUCAAUGCUGUGAAGCUACCAACAAGGAAAAUAAUGACCAUCCUGAGUUUCUUGAGAGGUGGCAACACUCCUUACACUAAAAAACAUGUCAGCAAUGUGAGGACAGCAAUUGGCAAAGAAACUAACCAGAAUGAUAUGAUGCAAGUACUGACUUACUUCAGGAAAAGGCAGGCGGAAGAUCCAAGGUUCUAUUAUGCAUUUAAGACAGUUAAAGUUUCUGAUGAGGCAAGCAAACUGUUAUGCAUUUUCUGGGCUGAUGACUACGCAAGAAAAAUGUACGACUUGUAUGGUGACUGUCUCAGCUUUGACACAACGUUCAAGACAAACAGAUACAACCUCCCGUUUGCUCCAUUCGUUGGGAUCACAGGUCAUAGUCAGAACUGCUUGUUUGCUUGUUCUAUCAUUCAAAAUGAAUCAACUGACACUUUUAAGUUGUUGUUUGAGACUUUUCUUCACUGCAUGGGAGGCAAAAGUCCAGUGACGAUUAUAACAGAUGAAGAUGCGGGCAUGAAAUCGGCAAUCCCGAUGGUUUUUCCCAACUGUGUUCACAGGCGUUGUCUGUUCCAUAUAAAAAAGAAAGCUGAGGAAAAAUGUCCCAGAACAUUUGCAGCACAUGAAAACCUACAUGCUGAUUUCAGUGACAUCAUACACAACUCGCUGACAGAAGGUGAGUUUGAAAUGUUGUGGCCAGAUAUGAUACAGAGAUAUGGUAUACAAAAAAUCAGCUAUUUCAACAUUAUGUGGAAGAAGAGAAGGAGGUUUGUUCCUGUCUACUUCAAGAAGAAUUUCUUCCCAUUCAUUCAUUCUACUAAGGGACAAAUGCUAUUUUCAAGGACAACAUAA